GGUGUGAAGUGUGUUUGUCUUGCACGUGUGCCUGGGGUGGCCUUUGUUUGGAUCCCCUCACCUCAUAUAGCCCACCUAUCUCCUGAGGUGCAAGGUAUA